GUAAGAAUGUAGGUAAUGCGCAGAAAGUUCCUCCCUCGAGACCCUGCCAAUCAUCCCAUGUCCGCGGAGUGACUUACCGCCAUUGUUGCUGAAGUCCCCUUAUCCGUGGGCGCAAGAUAAGAAAGAGCUACUCACAAGUUACUAGUGGAAACAAUAAUGUUAGGCGCCAAACUUAAUCAUCUUGGACAUAUGGUCGAACAUCUGGAAACAGAUUGUUAUUAAUAGGUAACAAACCAAGGACAGUAAUAAGAAGCAGCUAGAAGGUGAAAGGCUCUAUAUCUCGGCUUGGACUUUGGUACUUCUGGUGCUAGAUUUGCCAUUAUUGACAUUUUUGGUACAAUUCAAGCCGAGGCUAAGAGAAACUAUCCGCUAUAUUAGGGUGAAGAUGAAGGUUUCUACCAAUGUUUUUAUUCUUUAAACCACUAGAUAUCAUCAAUGGAGGUGUCAGAAGUGCACCACCUGCAGAAAUUGUUACUUUGGCCUCAAUCUGCAGCUUCAUUGUGACUCUACUCUUUAAAGUCUUUGCCAAAACACCCAAACAUUUCUUCUUUCUUGCAUUUCCAUUCUUGUAAUUACUUUCAAACAAAAACCUCUCAGCUUUGCAUCCUGUUAUUAUCACAGCACCUUUUUCAACAGCAUCUACAAGCCAUGUAAUUUGAGUCCCUUGCUUCUCUCCUUUUGGACAACCAUAACCACAUGAACCACAAUAAUGAUUAUUCCCCGAUGAAUUUCUUGGAACAUAAUCAACUUUUAAGCCAAGAUUUUGACACCCUUUUCGCAGUACUUGAUUUUGUAACCCUUCUUGUGUACAAUUUUCAUUGACACCAAUUCUCUCACACACAGUUUCCAUAGCAGAUAGAUACUCUAAGCUUGAAAAUAUGGAAAGUUUGUGUUCCUCUGACCAUUCUUUUAACACUUUUUUUGGUGUUCUUAUGCAAGCUGACCAAUUAACAGCUGAGCCGCCACCAACUGUUGAACCUGCCAAAACAAGUAUUCUUGAAUCAACAGAAGCUAACAUUCCUCCACAUUCAUAUUGUUGAUCCAUCGAAGGACCUUCUAGUGAUGAAUAAUCCUCUGGAACAAAAUAGUUUCCUUUCUCUAGAACAAGCACUUUGUGUCCUGCAUUUGAAAGGACAGAAGCUGCUACACCUCCUCCAGAGCCAGAACCAACAACUACUGCAUCACAUUUUAUUUUGAGUGUGUUGUUUUUGGAGUCUAGUGUAACAUUGAGGCCUUUGUUAAUUAGAGAUUGUUGAAGAGUUGAGUCAUUUUCGUGCAUGGUUUCUAUAAUCCCUUUUUCAAGGGGUCUCUUUUUGGUCACAUUUGUUGUUUUCUCAUCACCUGAUGAUACCACAUAUCCAAUGGCUUUCCAUGCUGGAUUAUCACCAUUUUCAUCAACCUGAAAAAUAAGAUGGUUAAUUAAUUGAUAAAUAAGAGAAGUAUUAUGUAGCAAGGCUGAAGAAUUAAGACAUACCCGAGAGAAGAAAACAAAGAGGCAUAGGACUUUGAUAUAAGCAAAUGUGAGUCUAAAAGGAGUGAGGAACUUAUGAUUGAGACCCCUCUGCACAAUCUUCUCUCUUUUAUCCAAAGACAUACUUGAGAAGUUGUUGAUAAAGGGCCAUUCCUUACUAAGACAGAGCAAACCACAAAUCAACAAAGUGCCUAACCUUGUUGCUAGAAGCCAUAGAAUCACUCUAAUCAAUAUCACUGCUUCUGUUACUGCCCUCUUCAAUAUUGUCUCAGCUACCUCGUGAGGGAUUGGAUACUGCGAAGCAGAGAUGUUGAAGAAAGACUGCACAUUCUUGAUUGAAAUAUCAUCAUCAUCAUCAUCAUCAUCAUGUUGGUCUUCUUUUUUAAGCUUCUUCAUAGCAUCAAUAUCCAUUGGCAAUGAAGGCAACACAACCUCACAUAUACUUGUGAGUGAAUCCAUCUCAUAUACAGAAAAUCCAUAUUUAUAUUUGCUAUUCUCUCUCACACCCCUCAACAAUGGAUGACACUCCCUUCUCAUAUUUCUUUCUCUUUGUGCUGUGAUCACUUAUGAUUGAUCACCACCUUAUAUAUACAAGAACUAAUAGUUAAUAUAGAUGUGAAAAUAAUUGAUAUAUGGAGAUAUAUGUAUAUAGGAUAAUCUGCUAGAGUGAUAUCUAAUUAUUUAUGUGAAAUAAAUGUGGGGAGUUGGAAGGGGAAGAUAGUGAAAGAAAGGGAUGCAACUGAUGAACGUUGUAUUUAUUUAUGUUUUGCUAUUCUUGA